rnacentral:rRNA from 1 species
UACGUAGGGUGCGAGCGUUAAUCGGAAUUACUGGGCGUAAAGCGUGCGCAGGCGGUGAGCUGUGUCCGAUGUGAAAGCCCCGGGCUUAACCUGGGAAUGGCAUUUGGGACUGCAAGGCUCGAGUGCGGCAGAGGAGACUGGAAUUCCUGGUGUAGCAGUGAAAUGCGUAGAUAUCAGGAGGAAUACCGGUGGCGAAGGCAGGUCUCUGGGCUGACACUGACGCUCAUGCACGAAAGCGUGGGGAGCAAACAGG